CUGACGCCAGACCCCAAAUUAGCAGCCCAGCUCGCUCCGUAGCCGUCCCCCCUUGGAUGUAACCAUGUAGAAGCGAAGGGGUGGAAUUGGAAAAGAGACGAGGACAGCUGCAGCUUAAUACCGGUGUCCACUUGGACUCAGAUGCAGCGGGAAGCCGGAAUGGAGCGAAUGGGGAUGGAGCCAGUGGUGCCAUGGGUGCCUCCGCUGGGAACUCUGGUCGAUGCCCGAGGCGGGGUAAAGGUACUCUCUGUGUUGUCAUAGGCCCUCUCGAAUGGUGCCUUCCAGAGUGGGUGGUCUUACCGCUACCCCUGCGUGGUACAUCCCAGGACCGAACGGUUUCAUCUGGCGCGUCCCUUGGUGGUGAGCCUGGGGAACAGCCGAUGUAGAUGCCGGUGGACCGUUAGAGGAUGGAUGAUCCUCCAAGGGUGGAAGGGCAACGUGAGGAUGAAAACCCCGCGGAUUGCUGCAAUCUUGGACUCGGAAAAAUGUCUCCAUAAACUGAAGAUUACUUCUCUGUAGUGGCCAGUAUCAUAACAGGAAGCAUGGAAAGCAUUUUCUGUGUGCUGGGCAUUGUUCUUGUUUGUGCUUUCCUGUUUAAUACAGAAUAGGUCUCAAUGGGGAAAGCCAGGCACAGUCCCCCAGCGGGCAGGGGAGAGAAAGCUUUGGACUGGGAUCUGAAGGUCUGGGAUGGGGAAGGCCUCUGUCGUUGACUGCGAGUAAUAUGUGAGAAGGACAACAGGACAUUCCAUUCUGUUCGGAAAGGGGUCAACUCCGAGGGAAGCCAAGGAUAGUGCAUAGAGACCCUGCGGUUCCAGGACUCUACCUCAGUGGCGGGAAAACCUCAACCUGCACUGCACACGCCCAACUCAGGGAGCAUGCGCAGUGCGUGCGCACGCGCCUCUUUCUGCGCAUGCGCCUUAGUGCGCAUACGCCUUCCUGAGCGCAUUCUGUGAGAACCGUUGGGCCUGAGCCGGGUGUGUUUAUUCAGUUCCGGUUCAUUCUCACUACUUGAGACUCACCCGGGAGAAAUAUGAGUGGGCAAGUGGCAUCAACAUUGGGACCUACAGGUCAAGAUUCUUCCCAGCUGGAUGAACCUGUGGUUGACCAGCAGCCCAGUGUUGAGCAACCUGAACAAGAGGAAGCACCAGCUGAGAUUCAGGAUAUCACACCUGGAAAGGAGGAAGUCAGUGGAGAGGAUCCAGUGAAUCAUGGUGAAGAGAAGGAGAAGGAUGCCCCUGGAGAUUCUGACCUGGAAACUGAUCUCCAGGAAUUGGCUGUGGCAAAGACUGGGGGUCAAGGCGGAGAUGGUCCUGAUGUCAAGGAGGAGAUUGCAUCAAAUACAGAGACUGUUGAAAUGCCAGAGGAGGUGAAGGGGAACCAUUUGCUUGAAAGAAGAUAAACUGAAACCAUCUAUGCUGUUCUUAUGCUGUUUAUUUGACUGUUAAAGUUCUGUCAAUAAAGUUUCAUUUUCUA